CAGGCGCGGUCAGGUGAGACGCAGUUUGCCGCUUUGGCUCCCUGAGAUCUAGUCUUGAGUGCUGUUUGAGGUAUAAAGGCUUGCAAUAUACAUGAGAUAUCACCAGCUGGUCGAUUCAAGGACUUGUAUUCAUGCCCUCAAAAAUGGCAUUUGUGAUAUUUAUGACCCAGACAAGAAGAAGCUGAUGUUGCAUGUGAGUGUUAGUAUCAGAGGCCAAGGGGAAAUUGUGGCAUCCAAGUUGCCGAUGGAACCUUAGGCUCGCUGAUGAUAUGAGCCUGCAUCAUAUUUGAAGGAUCAAAGGAAGGAAGACAUAGAAAGCAACCUGAAAAAGGGUAACUCCAACUUGAUUCAUAGUUCAAAUGUUUAAUGGUUCAUAACCGUGGUGAUUGUUUGGAUAUGCUUAAUGUUCAUGUCUCUUAUGUAAGAUUUAUUACUCCCUGAGACAUUGUUACUGAACCUGUAUACAUUUGUGGACUUAGGAAUGUGGCUGCGUUUCCUCUGUUU